AAGAGACUCUGAGCUACAUUUCAACUCACUGUGUGUUACAGCGACUGUGACUCGCGCGCACAGAUUGUCAGCUCUGGAAGUCAUGCUUCAUGUUUGCUGAGUUGUCCUCUGUUUUAGAUCCUGAGUUGGGGUGAGCAGCAGCAGUGGCCUCUGAUGUC